rnacentral:pre_miRNA from 1 species
CUACUACUCCCUUCAUCAGAAAAUAUUUGUUGGAGUAAUACAUGUGUCUAGACAUAUUUUAGUUCUAGAUACACUCAUUUUGACCCAUUUCUACGACAAGUAAUUCCGGACGGAGUGAGUAUUUA